rnacentral:rRNA from 1 species
AGUGGGGAAUAUUGGACAAUGGGCGCAAGCCUGAUCCAGCCAUGCCGCGUGUGUGAAGAAGGCCUUCGGGUUGUAAAGCACUUUUGUUGGGAAAGAAAUCCUGUCGGUUAAUACCCGGCGGGGCUGACGGUACCCAAAGAAUAAGCACCGGCUAACUUCGUGCCAGCAGCCGCGGUAAUACGAAGGGUGCAAGCGUUACUCGGAAUUACUGGGCGUAAAGCGUGCGUAGGUGGUUUGUUAAGUCAGAUGUGAAAGCCCCGGGCUCAACCUGGGAAUUGCAUUUGAUACUGGCAGACUAGAGUGCGGUAGAGGAGAGUGGAAUUCCCGGUGUAGCAGUGAAAUGCGUAGAGAUCGGGAGGAACAUCAGUUGCGAAGGCGGCUCUCUGGACCAGCACUGACACUGAGGCACGAAAGCGUGGGGAGCAAACAGGAUUAGAUACCCUGGUAGUCCACGCCCUAAACGAUGCGAACUGGACGUUGGGUGCAAUUGAGCAUUCAGUGUCGAAGCUAACGCGUUAAGUUCGCCGCCUGGGGAGUACGGU